rnacentral:rRNA from 1 species
UACGGAGGAUCCAAGCGUUAUCCGGAAUCAUUGGGUUUAAAGGGUCCGUAGGCGGUUUGGUAAGUCAGUGGUGAAAGCCCAUCGCUCAACUGGUGGAACGGCCAUUGAUACUGCCAGACUUGAAUUAUUAGGAAGUAACUAUGAAUAUGUAGUGUAGCGGUGAAAUGCUUAGAGAUUACAUGGAAUACCAAUUGGCGAAGGCAGGUUACUACGUAAUGGAUUGACGCUGAUGGACGAAAGCGUGGGUAGCGAACAGG